CAGGCCUAACACAUGCAAGUCGAACGCUAUAUUUAUAUAGAGUGGCGCACGGGUGAGUAACACGUGGGAAUCUGCCCUUCUGCCUGGGAUAACAGUUGGAAACGACUGCUAAUACCGGAUACGCCCUUCGGGGGAAAGGUCCGCCGCAGAAGGAGGAGCCCGCGCUCGAUUAGCUAGUUGGUGAGGUAAUGGCUCACCAAGGCAACGAUCGAUAGCUGGUCUGAGAGGAUGGUCAGCCACACUGGGACUGAGACACGGCCCAGACUCCUACGGGAGGCAGCAGUGGGGAAUAUUGGACAAUGGGGGAAACCCUGAUCCAGCAAUGCCGCGUGUGUGAUGAAGGCCUUAGGGUUGUAAAGCACUUUCACUGGUGAAGAUGAUGACGGUAACCAGAGAAGAAGCCCCGGCUAACUUCGUGCCAGCAGCCGCGGUAAUACGAAGGGGGCGAGCGUUGUUCGGAAUUACUGGGCGUAAAGGGAGCGCAGGCGGUUCAUUAAGUUAGGCGUGAAAGCCCCGGGCUCAACCUGGGAACUGCGCUUAAUACUGGUGAGCGAGAAAACAGGAGAGGGUAGUGGAAUUUCCAGUGUAGAGGUGAAAUUCGUAGAUAUUGGAAAGAACACCGGUGGCGAAAGCGGCUACCUGGCCUGAU
rnacentral:rRNA from 1 species